rnacentral:rRNA from 1 species
GACGAACGCUGGCGGCGUGCUUAACACAUGCAAGUCGAACGGAAAGGCCCUGCUUUUGUGGGGUGCUCGAGUGGCGAACGGGUGAGUAACACGUGAGUAACCUGCCCUUGACUUUGGUAUAACUUCAGGAAACUGGGGCUAAUACCGGAUAGGAGCUCCUGCUGCAUGGUGGGGGUUGGAAAGUUUCGGCGGUUGGGGAUGGACUCGCGGCUUAUCAGCUUGUUGGUGGGGUAGUGGCUUACCAAGGCUUUGACGGGUAGCCGGCCUGAGAGGGUGACCGGCCACAUUGGGACUGAGAUACGGCCCAGACUCCUACGGGAGGCAGCAGUGGGGAAUAUUGCACAAUGGGCGGAAGCCUGAUGCAGCAACGCCGCGUGCGGGAUGAUGGCCUUCGGGUUGUAAACCGCUUUCGCCUGUGACGAAGCGUGAGUGACGGUAAUGGGUAAAGAAGCACCGGCUAACUACGUG